GUAAUAAACUAAUACUGCAGUUGAAUACACACACUUUCGGAACUGCUUGUCCCAUAGGGGGUCACAGGGAACCGGAGCCUAACCCAGCAACUCAGAGCGUAAGGCUGGAGGGGGAGGGGACACACCCAGGACAGGACACCAGUCCGUCGCAAGGCACCCCAAGUGGGACUCAAACCCCAGCCCCACAGGAGAGCAGGACCUGGUCCAACCCACUGCGCCACCGCACCCCCGUCUGCAGCUGAACAAACCACAGUAAUUGCAAUUUAAAAACUAUUCAUCAAACUUCACCAGUUGGUUAAGAGAUUAUUUCACUUCUGAAACAUUAUGGAAAUGAAUACACACCAAAGCAGUGAUCACUUCUCUGGACAGCAGCCCUGGUUUUUGACUGAAGCAUUUCGCUACGUUUUGUUUGUGGUGUGGAUCGUUGAUAUUAUAAUGAUAUUUGUGGUCACACAUUUGAUCCACGAAACAAAUGAAAUUUACGAGAAAACCGUGGAAGCUGGAUGGCUCAUAAGAGAUCCAGAAACAGGCUCGCCGAAGACCCCGCGAAGGAAACAACAAUGCUGCUUUUGAAAUGCAAAUUGAAUGCAAAAUAUUUUUUUCUCUCUCUGGUUCUACUAAAAUUAAUACAAGUGUAAAAAAGAAGGACAGAUAUGAAAUGGAACCAGUUUUUGUUUUUGCUUAUAAUUAUUGAUGUAAUAAGGUAUAUAAAACUAUAGUUUCACACUUCCUGUGUUAUUUUCCAUGUCCAUUUGUACAUUUUCGUCACUACUGAUAAAGAAUUAAUUGUAACAUCCAGGGGUUUAAGUGCUACACUUGACCUUGAGUAAUUUACAUAACAUAACAUGUUUUUAAAGUGAGUGCCUCUUGGGACAGUUUAAUCUGCAAUGUCAUACUGAUGCUUUGUGUGAAAAUGUACAAUACAUUGACACGUUUACUUAGACUUGUCCAAAAUUGUUUUCAUCAGUUUACAUGUCCUCCCCAUGUCUGCACGGGUUUCCUCUGGGUGCUCUGGUUUCCUCCCAAAGUCUAAAGACAUGCAGUCCAAGUCAGUUAGUGAUGCUAAAUUGCCCGUAGUCUGUGUAAAUAGGAGAAUCAGUGUGUGUGUGUGUGUGUGUGUGUGUGUGUGUGAGUGGCUACCCCGUAAUAGAGUGGUGUCCCGUCCAGUGUGAACCCCCCAUCCUUGAACCCAAUGCUCCUGGCUGGGAUAGGCUCCAAUUCACCGUGACCCUGGUGAGGACAAAUGAUUACUGAAAACGGAUUGAUUACUAUACACUGGACAUCUUGACUCUUUUGCUAACAAAUCCAAAUCCAACUGUCUGUCAAUUAAAGAAUAUCUUUUUUUAAGCUGUAGAAGUAGUGAGAGGAGCUGGUAUAUUGGUGGUUAGAGUUGCUGCCUUUGGAUCCAAAGGUUGCUGAUUUGAACCUCAGAUACUGCUGUAGGACCCUUGAGCAAAAGGUUUUUACACUGAACCGCUCCAGUAAAAUUACCCAACUGUAUGAAUGGGUAAAUAGUUGUACGUAUCUUAACACUUAAGUUACUUUGAAGAAAGGUGUCAGCUAAGUGAGUAAA
rnacentral:lncRNA from 1 species